rfam:Schistosoma curassoni strain Dakar, Senegal genome assembly, scaffold: SCTD_scaffold0005020
AACUUUCUGAAACCGUGCAGAGCUUUCGUCAUAUACCAACCCAUUAGUGCUGAUCAGACUUCCAAGAUGAGUGAAGUU